rnacentral:lncRNA from 1 species
GGCCUUUAUCACAACAAGAACAUAUUGUUAUCUGUUACGUCCGAGACAUUACUAACACUAUGUCGAUGAGUUUGUCAAUAUAUAAAAUAGGAGAUGUGGUAUAAUUGCCAAUGAGAGAACUAUAUAUAGGCCACUUUCUCCUGAGGUAUAAUAAGUCAUCGUACGGCCUUCAACCAUGAGCAAACCCCAUACCGUAUAGCCCAUUGGUACUUG